rnacentral:rRNA from 1 species
CCGGGUUAGGGUAGGCCGUAGCGAGAGCGAGUCCGAAGUAGGCGAGUGUGUAGUGGCGCGUUCUGGACCCGAAGACCGGGGUGGAGUCUACCCAUGGCCAGGUUGAAGCACGUGUAAGAGCGUGUGGAGGACCGAACCACCUAGGUUGAAAACUGGGGGGAUGAGCUGUGGGUAGGGGUGAAAGGCCAAUCAAACUCCGUGAUAGCUGGUUCUCCCCGAAAUGCAUUUAGGUGCAGCGUCGCGUGUUGCCCGGCGGAGGUAGAGCUACUGGGUGGCUGAUGGGCCCCACAGGGUUACUGACGUCAACCAAACUCCGAAUGCCGUCGGGUUGUAGCGUGGCAGUGAGACCGCGGGGGAUAAGCUCCGUGGUCGAGAGGGAAACAGCCCAGAUCGCCGGCUAAGGCCCCUAAGCGUGUGCUAAGUGGGAAAGGAUGUGCGGUCGCGCAGACAACCAGGAGGUUGGCUUAGAAGCAGCCAUCCUUGAAAGAGUGCGUAAUAGCUCACUGGUCAAGUGAUCGUGCGCCGACAAUGUAGCGGGUCGACGCGGCCG